AGACGGGUAAUUCCUGCGAUGUGUCUGAUAUGUUCCCAUCCAUCGGUUGGCUAAGUAUCAGGAACUUAGACAUCACGGGGGCCGUCU
rnacentral:sRNA from 1 species